rnacentral:lncRNA from 1 species
CACCUGCCCAGGGCAGAAGUGAACUCUGCCCACUCACCUCAGGCUUGUUACUGUCAGUACAUCAAAUCCAUUUGUCCAUCCCAUCCAUCUGUCCACCUUAGACUUAAGGAAUUUCAAGUUUGGAAAGGACUCCCUUUUUGCAAGUAAGAAGAUGGGGCAAAAAGGGGAGAGUGUCUCAAUGUAAAUAAUGUAGGCCCAUUCCCUGGGUGGCCCUGUGCUGGGGAUUCUGAGUUGAGUCAGAUAUGUCUCUUUCUCCGUGUGUGUCAUGACUGGACCUGAUCUGAUUUCUCCUGAACCUCUCAGACUCCUGAGCGAUCACACACACCUCUGCAUGAGUUCCUCACCACCAGCUCACCGCUAGUGGGAGGGUUAGCAAUGGUGCUACCACAGCCUUCCGAGAGAGUUGGCUGUUCCACCUUCCUCCCACUGUGGGGCUCUGACUAUCACCAGCCAGCGGGUGAGCCAGCUCCAAAGCACAUGUGAGAGUCCAGGCCAGGUCCCCUCUGGCAUCACCUCUCCUAGGUUGUGUCCCUUGGAAACAGACCCUGGGAUGGGGACUUGCUUGUGGGAAGUGGACAGGGGAGUUACACCCAUAAAGAAGGGUUAAGUGAAGGGAGUUGGAUGGACUGUGAGGAGGUGGCAGUGGAGGCCUCAGCUAAUCCCACUCAGGCUCUGAAGCUGGGAAAGGCCUUCCUCCUGGUGCCUGACACUGACUGAUUAGGAGAUGGGGACUGUCCCCCGGGGAUUGUGAACGUGGGUGAGGCAGCUCCCAUUGGCCGAGGGAGAUUUCUGGGGAGGGCUCAGUGGUGAGCCAUCAAGAGCCAACACCCUGGCAUCUGGGAAUGGUCUGUGCAGCACCACAGGGCAGCCAUUAUAGCUCCUCCCCUUCAAAGUCACUGUCUGUGACAAGACUGAACCCACAUGGACCCAGGACCUCAUCCUCCUCCCAUAACAGCCCCACCCUCCAUGUUGAUCCCCUAGCCAGAGCUGCCUGGCUCAGAGGAGGACACCUCACUAAAGUUGGCUCAUUAAGAUACUUGCCUUUAUGGCUCCUGAUGAUUGGUCCAGUUACAGGCACCCGCACUAGCCUGGUGUGGUCAGAAUUUUCCCCUGGGAUUGCAUGGGGAGAGGUGUCUAUUGUUAAUCAUCAUUUCCCUGAGGGUGAGAGGUCCACGAUGUGAAACUUGGAAACUUUGAUGGUUGGAGGGAAGGCUAGUCUUCAGUGAGAGAGCUGAAUCUGAUGUGCAGAGGGAAACAAAGAUGAAAGACAGGGACAUACAAGCCCUGGUAAAGUCCAGGGUUCUGGUUCCAGCUGUUCCUGAAGCCUGCGUUCUUCUGAGUAGCAGUUUGGUUGUUUAGCCUUUCUUUUAACAAUCAUUUAAAUAAGUUUUUCCUCCUUUCGUUUAAGCCCAUUUGAGUUGAGUUCCUGUCAAUGGAAACCAAUUAUAUAUAAUAAUGUAAAGAGUUCUUUUGAAUGUGGCUUGGUUGAUCAUAAUUAACCCUUUUGUCAACUCCAUAAAGUUCCAACUUAACAUAUCCCUCUAGGGACUAUUUCCAGGCCUCAAAUGUAUUUUGUUUGAUUGGUAUGGUGUUUAAAAUAUUCACUUGUAAUCAUCUAAUAGUUGGGAGAUUUACAUAACAUCUGGCCUUUUAGCUUCUCUUUAGUGUAUUAGAAGGUCUGGCAGCAUUGGGCCCAUGUUUCCAUAUGGAAACCCUUGGUAGGUACCAGAUGAGCAGCAGCUUCCCCCACUUUUCUUAAUGGGGCAUGCUCUCCAGUUUGCCACAGACUCCACCAUUUUCUAUUGCUUUCCACCCCUCCCUCUUUCUUCAUUUAUGUGACCUGCCUGCAUUCUGCAGGCAUUUUAGUUUGUAGUUCCUAUUUGUAUAAAGACCCUUGAAUUGUAUGGCCUUCUCUGACCCUGUUAAACCUCAGGUUCCUGGAAAGGGACAAAAAAGAUACUGCACAUUGUGGAGGGAAGAAAUGAAAUAAAAGGAGGUGAGAGCUCUCAGAAAGCCUAAACCUCUCUGAAAUCACAAAGCUCUACAAGUGAGAAUUGUCAUCAUCAUUAUUAAUAACAAUUGAAAGGCUAGGAGGUGAAAGUCAGCCCCCACUCCACUGCCCACCCCCUCACCCAAGCACAGGAGGGUAUUUGUGCCAUCAGGAUGGUGUUUAUUAUUGACAUUGACAGGUAUUAUUAAACUAUGUCAGCUUGCAAAUGCAAAAUGUUUACCAAACGAACUAAAAUGAGCUGGCAGAAAUAAUAUCUAGGUGCUGUCUACCUUUAAAUGUUCUUUCUAUAAAUUGCUGUGGCAUUUCUCCAGGGCUCAGAUCAACCAGGAAGGAAAGAAAUGACCCCUCUGGCCUGUUGAAGGUGUUUCUUGUUAUUCCAGCUAAUAUCCUGUGUGUCCCAUUGUCCCCCCUGCCAUUGCUGACGUGGAGUCUUAGACCUUGGAGACUGCACACUGCUGGUUAACUCCCUCCCCUGGACGCAUUUAUUAAAAAAUGGGUGAAAUCUCUCUCCCUUUGCAUCGUCUCCACCCCACGUUGAAAUUGAUUGACUACAUUGUGUCCUUUCAAGCUCAAAGAGCAGGCAGAGGUUUGAUGAAGCAUCAUGCUGUGAUGCGCAAGUGGGCCGUACUUUGAAAAUAUGAUGGUUUUAUAUAAUGGUGUGUGUCUGCGGCUGCCUCGCGGCUUCUGACGCCCGAGUCACUGUGGCGUUACUUCAUGCACACCCAGGACUGCAGCAAUCUGGCCCACCUCUCCCUGGUCCUUUCCCACUCUGUGACCCGCUCCCUGCCAUAUUUAUGAGUGUGCUGUGUAAGCUCAUUCCUCCAUGCUCUUCUUUUCUCUAAAAUGUCCUUUUCGGCUGUGACUUCCUGCAAACACCUCAUCUUUCCAGACUUUCUAUGCUGGUUAAAGAGUUUAGCACCUGACCGAUAAUUCUGAAAAUCAUUUCCUAGUUCCCAGGACCCCAGAUGCAACAGCGUGGUGUAGGGGAAGAAGAAUACCUUGGAGAGAGAAUCAUGUGGGUUUGAGUCUUGGCUCUGCCACUUACUAGCUAUGCCUUUUGGGGCAAGUAACCAACUUCUCUGAACCUCAGUUUCCUCAUCUCUAAAUGGGGAUAGUGAUAGGACCUAAAUCUUGUUGUGAGGAUUAAAUGUGAUACUGUUUACAAAGUGUUUAUUAUCACAAUGCCCAACACAUAAUGAAAAAUUUAUAGGAGGACUUAAUCUAGCUUUUGAGAUAAAUCCGAAGAUGGAUUGGCCUGAGACAAACACUGGAAACCUUUUAAACUGAAAUCCCAUCUUUUGAGUUCUAAGCUCCUUACCCUAAAACGCAAGAGCAGAGAAGGAUCUAGCUGAUUGAAGUUGUUUGGUUAAUCAAGGGCUUAUUACCCUCCAGUGGCUUUGUGUUAAUUUUAGGAUAAAGGCUGAAAUCCUCAAUGUAGUUUACAAUGUCUCACAUGGCCCAGACUCUGUUCAUCUCUUUAACCUCACAUUCUGCUUCUCCCCACUCCCUGGGAGGGGUACAUACCACAGGGCCUUUGUACAAGCUGCCCUUCUGCAGAACCACCUCCAUCCACAUUACCUACCAUAAACUCCUAUUCACUCCUCAGAGCCCAGACAUUUCCCCUAGAAGCUGUUCCCUGUGUAUCAAACCAUAUCCCUUUCCUACAGAACACUUAACUCUGAGUUCUGAUCUAUUUUUCAUCCAUUUCUGUGUUUACUUGAUUAAUAUCUGAUUAUUCCACUGGAUAAUGAAUUCCAUGAGGUCAGGGACCAAGUCUGUGGGUUGCUCACUGCAGCAUCCCCAGCACCUAACACAGCAGCUGGCCAUGAUGGACAUUCACCAAAUGAUUUGUUGAACGCACAGAUGAAUAAAUGAUGUUUUAAGAAAUAUGCAUAGUCAAGAUAUUUGCUUGGAACUAUAAAGUCCUAAUCUUCAAAGAGAAAGGGCCAAGAGAUGAGUCCUUGCAAGACAGGAAAUAGCAGGAUGGAACUGGGUUGCUUCUGACCUCUGGAGAAUGGACUGUUUGGGAGGAUUUGAGAAGGAAGUGAGCAUGUCUAGUGCCUAUGGUUAAACUGACUUCUAACUCAGGGACUAAAUUUUAUUUGAGAGGAGGGCUGCUGCUGAGGAAGUUUCCAUCCUUUGUAAAUAGGAUGUUGACAAAUGGGUGACCUGCCCCACCCCAGGGUCUUACAGGUUUUAAGAAUAGUCAUUGCCUCCAAAGUUCCUGACUUUCUAUCAAAAUCACCCCUUAAAUAAGUCAAACAUUUAUUAUGCUCCCCCCCCAACACUGCAGACUUGUUCUCGAUAAACAGAUUUG